UUGAAAUCAAACUCUUAAUUAGUAAAAGGUAUAAUUGUAUUUUACAUAAAGUAACCUAUUGAGCAGGUUACCAAUUUGAAUUAGUUAAUAUGACAAUAUUGAAAAAAAAUUAGUAAUAUAUACCAAAUUUGUUAGCAUCCAAUAAUAUUAAGUAUCUUAUUUAGUUUUGUUACUUACCAAAUUAGAUAAUACCCAAUUUGUUAUCCAACUCAAAAAAAUAUUAAAUUUAAAUU
rnacentral:lncRNA from 1 species